rnacentral:rRNA from 1 species
AGUGAACGCUGGCGGUAGGCCUAACACAUGCAAGUCGAACGGCAGCACAGUAAGAGCUUGCUCUUACGGGUGGCGAGUGGCGGACGGGUGAGGAAUACAUCGGAAUCUACUUUUUCGUGGGGGAUAACGUAGGGAAACUUACGCUAAUACCGCAUACGACCUACGGGUGAAAGCAGUGGAUCUUCGUACCUUGCGCGAUUGAAUGAGCCGAUGUCGGAUUAGCUAGUUGGCGGGGUAAAGGCCCACCAAGGCGACGAUCCGUAGCUGGUCUGAGAGGAUGAUCAGCCACACUGGAACUGAGACACGGUCCAGACUCCUACGGGAGGCAGCAGUGGGGAAUAUUGGACAAUGGGCGAAAGCCUGAUCCAGCCAGACCGCGUGGGUGAAGAAGGCCUUCGGGUUGUAAAGCCUUUUUGUUGGGAAAGAAAAGCAGCAGGUUAAUACCCCGAUGUUCUGACGGUACCCAAAGAAUAAGCACCGGCUAACUUCGUG